rnacentral:rRNA from 1 species
UACGGAGGGGGCUAGCGUUGUUCGGAAUUACUGGGCGUAAAGCGCGCGUAGGCGGAUCUGCAAGUCGGGGGUGAAAUCCCGAGGCUCAACCUCGGAACUGCCUUCGAUACUGCGGGUCUCGAGUCCGGGAGAGGUGAGUGGAAUUCCUAGUGUAGAGGUGAAAUUCGUAGAUAUUAGGAAGAACACCAGUGGCGAAGGCGGCUCACUGGCCCGGUACUGACGCGUG